rnacentral:rRNA from 1 species
CUUGGUGAGCAUAGCUAUGGGGGUACACCUAGUUACAUUCCGAACCUAGAAGUUAAGCCCAUAUACGCUGAUGGUACUUGGCUGGAAGCGGCCUGGGAGAGUAUGGAU